ACUUGAACAAAUCGGUGGGGAUAUCAAAUGGGGGUAGGUUAAAGCCUAUUUCCAGUGGUUCAUCGCUGAAUAUAACUGGAACUUUAAUGCUGCAUAAUUCAAUACUAGCCCUAUUCUUGUUAUUUUUUUAAAAAUAUUAUU